rnacentral:rRNA from 1 species
GAUGAACGCUGGCGGCGUGCCUAAUACAUGCAAGUCGAGCGAACAGAUAAGGAGCUUGCUCCUUUGACGUUAGCGGCGGACGGGUGAGUAACACGUGGGUAACCUACCUAUAAGACUGGGAUAACUUCGGGAAACCGGAGCUAAUACCGGAUAAUAUUUCGAACCGCAUGGUUCGAUAGUGAAAGAUGGUUUUGCUAUCACUUAUAGAUGGACCCGCGCCGUAUUAGCUAGUUGGUAAGGUAACGGCUUACCAAGGCGACGAUACGUAGCCGACCUGAGAGGGUGAUCGGCCACCCUGGAACUGAGACACGGUCCAGACUCCUACGGGAGGCAGCAGUAGGGAAUCCUCCGCAAUGGGCCAAAGCCUGACGGAGCAACGCCGCGUGAGUGAUGAAGGUCUUCUGAUCGUAAAACUCUGUUAUUAGGGAAGAACAUACGUGUAAGUAACUGUGCACGUCUUGACGGUACCUAAUCAGAAAGCCACGGCUAACUACGUG